GGCAGGUGUUUUCUUCAGGGUGUAAUGGGAAGCUGAGUGUUUGAAGUGAGAAGCCAGAAAAAAGCUGCCCGGAAGAAGAGGAGGGGAAGAGCACCAUUGCUGCUGGGCUUGAAGGGAGGAGGGCAGUGGGACAGGACAGCAUCGAGCAGGAAAGCAUGAGAUGAAUGAAGAGGAAAGAAAAUAUGGAAGAUGGACACUGAAAAACAUCUAACAAUCACAAAGUUGUUAGAAAUUGAAUAAGUUUUUCUUUUAUGAAUAUAGAGAAGUAAAUCAUGAUGCACAUUUUGCCACCUCAAAAUAGCUAAAAAUGAAAAUAUACUAACAACAAUGGAUAAGGAAUAUUUAAAACUUACUAUGUGUCAUUUUUAUUGUGAUAGCUUUCUUUUCUCGCUUACCAAAUUAUCUGUGUUAGAAAGCAAUUCCACCACAGCAUUAUCACACUUGGAGGAUUGUAAAAAACCAACAUUAUCAGUAGCUUAUGCAAGAGAUUACUGUGAAAUCCCAUAGCAAGGUUUUAAAUGUAAUUAAGACUGUGGAAUAUCAGGAACUUCAGUAGUGUUUUUGCAUAGGACUGAAUACCGAAAGCAAACACUUAAGUUUAUGAUUUCUGUAUCACUUCAAAAGCACAAUCUGUUUUUACUAAUUCUACAAGAAGUGUUGAUAUCAUAUUUAUAUUUUAAUGUCUGCUGAUAACUAGUUAUUAUUUCAGUCAGUAGAAUAAACAGCUGGAUCAUCUAGGGUUAGUAGUCAUAGACACAGGUCUGAGAACCGCCUUGGGGACGUUGGUCUCUGGAAAUGGCACGUGAAUGAUGUGGUCCUUAUAAUUCAGACUGCAACAAGAAAAAAAGCUACAUAUGCCAUGCCGUCAGAGACAGGGAAUAUUAACAGUUCAUGAUCCAUGUGCCAGAGAGAGGUUUUUAACAGGACCUAUGAUCACCUCUAACUAAUGUGCAGAAUAACCCAUGAGAGAGAAGUCACUGUGUUUCAGCUGGUAAAGGUGGAAGAUGGGACCUUCAAAGCCCCCUCCAAAGUCUUAUUCCCUAGCAGCUAUGUAAUGUUUCUU
ensembl:lncRNA